GCCAGGGACAUCCGAUAAAAUUAGAACGAUACAGAGAAGAUUAGCAUGACUCAUGUGCAAGAACGACAUGCACAAAAUUCAGAAAUGGUAUUAGAGCUA